rnacentral:rRNA from 1 species
AACGACUGCUAAUACCGGAUUAUGCCGAAAGGUGAAAGAUUUAUUGCGCUGGAGAUGAGCUCGCGUCUGAUUAGCUAGUUGGUAGGGUAAAGGCCUACCAAGGCGUCGAUCAGUAGCUGGUCUGAGAGGAUGAUCAGCCACACUGGGACUGAGACACAGCCCAGACUCCUACGGGAGGCAGCAGUGGGGAAUUUUCCGCAAUGGGCGAAAGCCUGACGGAGCAAGACCGCGUGGGGGAGGAAGGCUCUAGGGUUGUAAACCCCUUUUCUUUGGGAAGAAGAUCUGACGGUACCAAAGGAAUCAGCCUCGGCUAACUCCGUGCCAGCAGCCGCGGUAAUACGGAGGAGGCAAGCGUUAUCCGGAAUGAUUGGGCGUAAAGCGUCCGUAGAUGGCCAUGUAAGUCUGCUGUCAAAACCCAGGGCUCAACUCUGGUCAGGCAGUGGAAACUACAAAGCUAGAGUUUGGUAGGGGCAAAGGGAAUUCCCGGUGUAGCGGUGAAAUGCGUAGAUAUCGGGAAGAACAUCGGUGGCGAAAGCGCUUUGCUAGACCAAAACUGACAUUGAGGGACGAAAGCUAGGGGAGCG